rnacentral:rRNA from 1 species
AUUAACGUUGGCGGCGUGCCUAAUACAUGCAAGUCGAGAGGUGUAAGACCUCGGCAAACGGGUGAGUAAUACAUGGGUAUUUGCCUUAUACUCGGGGAUAACUCCGCGAAAGCGGAGAUAAUACCCGAUAGUCUCGCAAGAGUAAAGAUUUAUCGGUAUAAGAGAAGCCUGUGCUCUAUCAGCUAGUUGGUGAGGUAAUGGCUCACCAAGGCUAUGACGGAUAGCUGGUCUGAGAGGAUGACCAGCCACACUGGGACUGAGACACGGCCCAGACUCCUACGGGAGGCAGCAGUCGGGAAUUUUGGACAAUGGGGGAAACCCUGAUCCAGCGACGCCGCGUGGAGGAAGAAGGUUUUCGGAUUGUAAACUCCUUUUCACUAGGAGGCCCAGGUUUUUGGUUGCAAAUUUUUAUUUGCGAACAAAAAUCUGGGAUACAGUACUAGUGGAAUAAGUCACGGCUAACUACGU